CCCACCACUCACACACCAUCUAUAUUCUAUGUCCCUGGAUCACAGACGAUGUGCAGCUGUUGGUCUGUAACUCGCCGAUGGACGUCGAGCUGACUCAAAGUGGAGGUGCAGAAGAUCCUGAAAGGAGAACAUUUCAAAGCUGAAGCUCAACAACACUGUCAGGCUGUUGGAGUGAAAUACAGAGAUUGACCAAAAUACCUGUUUGGAGGGCCGAGUUACCUACACAUCGUUUUUGGAAUGUGCUUCCAAGAAGUUCAGCAUCCCAACCUUAGACGACACAAAGACGAGGUCUUUGAUUUCCUUCUGAAAAAACUAAACCUAGGUGUGCUCGAGAUUUGUCUUGCACGAGGUCCAAAUCCAGAUGCUAAGUUUGUUAGUGUCAUUAAUUUUUUUCAGCUCUACAUAGAAAAGUCUUGUGGCAUGUCGUCCAGUUUGAUCCUGCCGCCACCACCUCAUGAGACCAGGAAAGCUCUCUGCCAGUGAAGUUCAUCAAGACGGGGACCAGCAUCCUGAUGGAAUCGCAGACAGCCAUACCUGCUUGCAGUGGGAACGUGAUUCACUGUCAAUUAUGCAUUUAUUUGAAAUGUUGUUUCAUUUGUAUCUUAU